GACAGAGGAGCCAAGCGUUGUCCGGACUGACUGGGCGUAAAGGGCACGCAGGCGGUGCGACAAGUGGUGUGUGAAAGCGCUCGGCUUAACCGAGCGAGGCCAGGCCAAACUGCCGCACUGGAGCCAUGCAGAGGGUGGUGGAAUUGCCGGUGUAGUGGUGAAAUGCGUAGAGAUCGGCAGGAACACCAAGGGAGAAAUCAGCCACCUGGGCAUGUGCUGACGCUGAGGUGCGAAAGCGUGGGGAGCGAACUGG
rnacentral:rRNA from 1 species